ensembl:lncRNA
GUGUUUGAGUCAGCAAACCAAAGUCUGUUGUCUUGUUUUACUUAUAAAUACAGACUAUUCAACCAACUCUAUCAAGUUUGGUUCAAUUUAAAGGAAAGGAUGAACAGAGCAAGUGGGAAUAUUUGUCUACAUCCAGUUCAACUUGACAAAGAUAUUGCCUGUGAUUUUCUGCUCAAAGUUUAAUUGCUGUCUUUGGCUCAAUUACCAGAACUCCGCCUACAGUGAAAGAUACACUGAAGAUUUCAGAUCAGGAGAAGUGCCAACCUGCUGAGAUGUCAGCCCACACAUUGCUAACUCGGGACUGGAAAAACUCGUUGUUCUCACGAGAGUGAGGGCCGCAGUGACCUCACCAGAUGCCUGAAGUACGGAAACAGCUCUGCCAAUACCAUUACUUUUCAGAGCCACUGUAAAAGAUUUUGUUAUUUUUGCAGAAGUUCUGCAAUGUUAGAACUACAGGACUUCAGUUAGAUUGUAAGGCAUGAGAGCACUCAAUUUUCUAUGUAUUGAAAAAAGAAAGGUUAAUGGGCUAUUUUAAUACUGCAGAAGAAUCGUCUUAGUCUUGAAAAUGGCUACAGCUACUGAAGAGACUAACCUGAGGUUUCUGUAUGAACUAGGAUAUUUGAGUACAGAUACAUGAAAUAUAAUGAGUUUAAUAGCUGGUGAGAACAGAAUCUAAAGGGGAAAAAAAAAAAGGCAAGCUCCUGGCCAAGUUAGCAAGCAGUUCUGCUGGCACCUCUCAUCUUCAGAGGGUACCUCAGAGAGCAGCACCCGGCAGAUUACUUCUCAGGGCCUUUGUGCAGCCAUUGUAGGAAACACCACGGAUUCCAGAGGAAAUAACCACUCCCUCACACCACCUUUCAGCGGCCCUCGAGCACCACGCCUGGCCUGUACCUAGCGGGAAGUGCUGACAGCCGUCCUGCGGACUGGCGAGCGCGCUGGGGCCUCUCCGGCCGCUCCACUCCCGUGCGUUUCACCGGCACAGCCCGCAAGGAGCGGGCGGGACGGCCGGCAGCCUCUGAUGGGUGAGGCGCUGCCUUCCCGCCGCCACUGGGUGCCGCCCUC